UGAUCAAUUGCAAUCACCCUGAAGUGUUCUGCAAGAGCAUCGAAGUUUCUGAAGAAGAAACCUUGAGCAGCCGCAUAUCCAUGCACCAUUACAAGAGUAGGUGAGCCCUCUUUGCUGUCAAAGGUAACGGUGUUAAUGAACCUUGGUUCACUGCUGGCGGAACGGAACCACGUGACUUUAGAACCUGGUGGUCCGGACCCGAUAUUAACCUGUUCUUGAGUAUACGGUGUCCUGGUAUUCAAUCCAAAACAGUUAUGGCCCAAAGUUAUGAAAAUAAUGUGAUCAGUAGACGUCGGAAUCCAACGAAGAACAGAAGGCCAUAAAGAUUUAUUCGUCGUUGACGUUACACUGCCGUCCGUUGCCGUUACGGUUGCCGGAGCAGAUGAGUGGAACUCCUGGGCCAUGGUUUUGACCAGAGAAGUAGAAAUUGAACGUCUGAGGCCAAAUCUAAGGGUCAUAAGUUAGAUUAUGUGAAUCAUUAUAGGUUAUAUGGAUUGGGUUUUAAAUAGAAGUGAUCGGAAAAGAUGAAGAUCUGGUGAUAGGGUUGAAAUACAAGUAGCGGAAAGUGGAGACGAUCGCCGGCCGGUGAAGUAACCGGCGGUUUUAUGGGCGAUCGGAAGUUUGACUUGGUGGGAUUGGGGAGGA
rnacentral:lncRNA from 1 species